CUCCACCCAAAGGCUCCUUUCUCCAUAUCUGGUGGUCUUUCCACUGCCUUUUAUGACGACUGAAAACCCAGAAAGUCCAGAUGACUCUAGGAGAGUGAAACAGAUUCAUUCACUCAACAAAUAAAUGAGUUACAGACUUUGGGUACUGAGAGCAAGAAUGAGAAAGCAGGAAAAUGAGUAAGCAUGAAAUGGAAAAGAGAUGAAAAAAAGAAGACAGGAACAAAACAGGUAUUUAAAGACUGUAUAGAAGGAAGAGACCUUAGAAUUUCUCUAAUUCAGCCCCCAAGAUCACCCACAUAUUAAAUAGGAGAUCCAGAACUCAAAUCCAAGGACUCAUCUUCCAAGUCUAUGCUGUUUCCACUAUCCCACAUGGUUAAAAUAUGUUUACAGUACACAGGGAACCUAGAGAAGUGAAUGAGGUUUCUUUAGUCCCUGGGGUACUAUAGAAGGAUAUAGUUAGAGGCUGAAAAUGUUUAGAAUUUCCCCCUGGGGAAGACUAGAGAGCCUAGAGAAAAUUGCCUCAGAAUUUUAUGGGCAAAGUGACAUCAUAUAUUCUAAUGCUCUACCAGAUGGGAUGCUUUUCAGGGGUUAGAAGACAGAAUAAGGAAAAAAGGGAAUUUUGAGCAGAUGGGUUUCUGGAAACCGGAGAAACUGGAGAAAUAUCAGUGUGUCUUUAUUGAUCUAUCUUCCUGGCAUAACCAUGUGACCUUGGGCAAGUUUCAACUUAUGGGCUCAAUUUCCUCAACUGUAAAAAGAGGGAAAUAAAUACUUGCAUCGUUUGGAUCAGUAUUUUGGAAAAAAAAAAUUUGAAAACUGUAAAGUGCUAUGUGUUUGGCAGUUGUUAUUAUAUUGUAGUCAAUAAUGUAUUUCAUUUCUGUAGGAGAUUGAGAGUCUCUGAGAACUACUGUAAGAGAAACUGAGUCAGGAAGCUUUUGAAAGUGGGAACUGGCUGAGGGAAGAUUCCAAGGAUGGAUGAACACAGAGCUACAGGGACUGAAGAGGUUCCGCGGGAAGGUAGGACUCACCAAAAUGGAGGACUAUUGUUGCCCCGCCAGCUGCAGAAGCGGAUUUGUUUUCUGAAAUACCCAAUACAAUGGCUGCAUCUAACAGCGUAUGUGUCUAACAUCCUGCCCUCUUGUAUCCUGUCUCUCUGCCAGGGAGAUGGAGGUAUUUGUCAUUAUCUGUUCUCUAGGAUCAAUUUUGGCUUUUACGAUUUCUCAUGGUCCAACAAAUCCUGCCUCAGACACUUACUAACUGUAUAACCUUAGGUUAGCCACUUAACUCUUCUCCGCCUCAGUUUGCUCAAAUGUCAAAUAGGAAUAGUAGCAUCAUCUCCAUAGAGGGUCUGUGAAGAUUAAAUGAGAUAACAUAUGUAAAGAACUUCACAAAUCUAAAGAGUUGAAUGAAUGCUAGCUAUUAUUAUCAUCUUCUUCUUCAUUAUCAUCAUCAGCUAGGUGACAUGGUAAAAAGAAUGCGAGAUUUGGAAUGAGGAUGUGUUGGGCAAAUCACUUAAACUUUAACUCAGUUUUCUCAUCUGUAAUAUGGGAAUAAGAAUAGUACCUCUCUCCCAAGGUGGUUGUAUCUCAAAUGAGAUAAUAUUUGUAAAGUGCUUUGCAAACCUUAAAGCUCCCUAUAUUUUCUAUCUAUGAUGAUAACAGC
ensembl:lncRNA